UACAGCUGUAGGUAUCUCCUCACCACUACAGCUGUAGGUACCUCCCCACCACUACAGCUGUAGGUACCUCCCCACCACUACAGCUGUAGGUAUCUCCUCACCAUUACAGCUGUAGGUAUCUCCUCACCACUACAGCUGUAGGUAUCUCCCCACCACUACAGCUGUAGGUAUCUCCUCACCAUUACAGCUGUAGGUAUCUCCCCACCACUACAGCUGUAGGUAUCUCCCCACCACUACAGCUGUAUGUAUCUCCCCACCAUUACAGCUGUAGGUAUCUCCCCACCACUACAGCUGUAGGUAUCUCCCCACCACUACAGCUGUAGGUAUCUCCCCACCAUUACAGCUGUAUGUAUCUCCCCACCACUACAGCUGUAUGUAUCUCCUCACCACUACAGCUGUAUGUAUCUCCCCACCACUACAGCUGUAGGUAUCUCCCCACCACUACAGCUGUAUG